rnacentral:rRNA from 1 species
GACGAACGCUGGCGGCGUGCUUAACACAUGCAAGUCGAACGCUGAAGCCCUUUCGGGGGUGGAUGAGUGGCGAACGGGUGAGUAACACGUGGGUAAUCUGCCCUGUACUUCGGGAUAAGCCUUGGAAACGGGGUCUAAUACCGGAUAGGACCUGUCCUCGCAUGGGGGUGGGUGGAAAGUUCCGGCGGUAUGGGAUGAGCCCGCGGCCUAUCAGCUUGUUGGUGGGGUAGUGGCCUACCAAGGCGACGACGGGUAGCCGGCCCGAGAGGGUGACCCGUCACACUGGGACUGAGUCACGGCCCAGACUCCUACGGGAGGCAGCAGUGGGGAAUCUUGCGCAAUGGGCGAAGGCCUGACGCAGCAACGCCGCGUGGGGGAUGACGGCCUUCGGGUUGUAAACCUCUUUCGACAUCGACGAAGGGGCCCUGUUGUGGGGUUUUGACGGUAGGUGUAGAAGAAGCACCGGCUAACUACGUGCCAGCCGCCGCGGUAA